UACGUAGGGUGCAAGCGUUGUCCGGAAUUAUUGGGCGUAAAGAGCUCGUAGGCGGUUUGUUGCGUCGGCUGUGAAAUCCCGAGGCUCAACCUCGGGUCGUGCAGUCGAUACGAGCAAACUAGAGUGUUGCAGGGGAGACUGGAAUUCCUGGUGUAGCGGUGAAAUGCGCAGACUAGUCAGGAGGGAACACCGGUGGCGGAAGGCGGGU
rnacentral:rRNA from 1 species